UCUCCGUAGGUGAACCUGCGGAGGGAUCAUUACAGAGUUCAUGCCCUACCGGGUAGAUCUCCCACCCUAUGUUAUUAUUACUUUGUUGCUUUGGCGGGCCGUUAGGCUCCGGCCCGACUACCGGCCCCGACUGGUAAGCGCCCGCCAGAGGACCCAAAACCCUGAAUAUUAGUGUCGUCUGAGUACUAUAUAAUAGUUAAAACUUUCAACAACGGAUCUCUUGGUUCUG
rnacentral:misc_RNA from 1 species